rnacentral:rRNA from 1 species
CCUACGGGAGGCAGCAGUGGGGAAUAUUGGGCAAUGGGCGCAAGCCUGACCCAGCAACGCCGCGUGAAGGAAGAAGGCUUUCGGGUUGUAAACUUCUUUUUUCCGGGACGCAGCAAGUGACGGUACCUCACGAAUAAGCCACGGCUAACUACGUGCCUGCAGCCGCGGUAAUCCGUAGGUGGCAAGCGUUAUCCGGAUUUACUGGGUGUAAAGGGCGUGUAGGCGGGGAAGCAAGUCAGAUGUGAAAACCACGGGCCCAACCUGUGGCCUGCAUUUGAAACUGGUUGUCUUGAGUGCUGGAGAGGCAAGCGGAAUUCCGUGUGUAGCGGUGAAAUGCAUAGAUAUCACGCAGAACCCCGAUUGCGAAGGCAGCCUUCCGGCGCCCUACUGACGCUGAGGCACGAAAGUGCGGGUAUCGAACAGGAUUAGAUACCCUAGUAGUC